AACUUGUGACAAUGUGUCUCUUGGCUCUCGCGUCGAUUAAGAACGCAGCGAAAUGCGAUAAGUAAUGUGAAUUGCAGAAUUCAGUGAAUCAUCGAAUCUUUGAACGCACCUUGCGCCCUUUGGCUAUUCUGAAGGGCAUGCCUGUUUGAGUAUCAUGAACUCCUCAACUCCUCAUGGUUUGCCGUGAUGAGCUUGGACUUUGGGGGUCUUGCUGGCCUAUGGUUGGCUCCUCUCAAAUGGAUCAGCUUGCCAGUGUUUGGUGGCAUCACGGGUGUGAUAAAUAUCUACGCUUGUGGUUUCCACCAUAUAGCCUUCAGCGAUGAAGGUUCUCUGGAGCUCACAAAUGUCCCUCCUCAGCGAGGACAGCUUUUUGAACAUUUGAUCUCAAAUCAGGUAGGAUUACCCGCUGAACUUAAGCAUAUCAAUAAGCGGAGGCU
rnacentral:misc_RNA from 1 species